UGGGGAAUAUUGCACAAUGGGCGCAAGCCUGAUGCAGCGACGCCGCGUGAGGGAUGACGGCCUUCGGGUUGUAAACCUCUUUCACCAGGGACGAAGCGAAAGUGACGGUACCUGGAGAAGAAGCACCGGCCAACUACGUGCCAGCAGCCGCGGUAAUACGUAGGGUGCGAGCGUUGUCCGGAAUUACUGGGCGUAAAGAGCUCGUAGGCGGUUUGUCGCGUCGUUCGUGAAAACUUGGGGCUUAACUCCAAGCGUGCGGGCGAUACGGGCAGACUUGAGUACUACAGGGGAGACUGGAAUUCCUGGUGUAGCGGUGAAAUGCGCAGAUAUCAGGAGGAACACCGGUGGCGAAGGCGGGUCUCUGGGUAGUAACUGACGCUGAGGAGCGAAAGCGUGGGUAGCGAACAGGAUUAGAUACCCUGGUA
rnacentral:rRNA from 1 species